rnacentral:rRNA from 1 species
GGAUCUAGUGGCGCACGGGUGCGUAACGCGUGGGAAUCUGCCCUUGGGUUCGGAAUAACUUCUGGAAACGGAAGCUAAUACCGGAUGAUGACGUAAGUCCAAAGAUUUAUCGCCCAAGGAUGAGCCCGCGUAGGAUUAGGUAGUUGGUGAGGUAAAGGCUCACCAAGCCGACGAUCCUUAGCUGGUCUGAGAGGAUGAUCAGCCACACUGGGACUGAGACACGGCCCAGACUCCUACGGGAGGCAGCAGUAGGGAAUAUUGGACAAUGGGCGAAAGCCUGAUCC